rnacentral:rRNA from 1 species
AUUGAACGCUGGCGGCAGGCCUAACACAUGCAAGUCGAACGGUAACAGGAAACAGCUUGCUGUUUCGCUGACGAGUGGCGGACGGGUGAGUAAUGUCUGGGAAACUGCCUGAUGGAGGGGGAUAACUACUGGAAACGGUAGCUAAUACCGCAUAACGUCGCAAGACCAAAGAGGGGGACCUUCGGGCCUCUUGCCAUCGGAUGUGCCCAGAUGGGAUUAGCUAGUAGGUGGGGUAACGGCUCACCUAGGCGACGAUCCCUAGCUGGUCUGAGAGGAUGACCAGCCACACUGGAACUGAGACACGGUCCAGACUCCUACGGGAGGCAGCAGUGGGGAAUAUUGCACAAUGGGCGCAAGCCUGAUGCAGCCAUGCCGCGUGUAUGAAGAAGGCCUUCGGGUUGUAAAGUACUUUCAGCGGGGAGGAAGGGAGUAACGUUAAUACCUUUGCUCAUUGACGUUACCCGCAGAAGAAGCACCGGCUAACUCCGUG